rnacentral:lncRNA from 1 species
AGUUGAUCUACUUAAAGAGGGGUUAUUUGGGUUCCUCCCAUCCACAAUAAUUAUGAUAUAUGUAAGCUUGUGGGCAGCAACCACAGAGAACACUGGGAUUUGGAAACUGGGGAGAGUGCAAGCCUAUCUGAAUGAGGAAUGGAUGUCUGUGAUUCAGAAUAGCUGGAAAAUGUAUUCUCUGAGAGUGUACCUGCAUCAGUAUAUAAAUUCAUAUCUAAAGACAACUAAUGGAUCUUCAGCAGUGUUUCUUCUUACUGCCUGAAACCUCAGGCAUUCAUUUAACAAGCACUGGACAAUGAGAAAUGCCAGAAGUCAAGUGCAGCACCUCUUCUCAAGUCUAUUGCCUCGGGAUGGGGAGGCUGAAUUGGUAAUGUGGCGAUCUGUGCUGACUUAAGCAGGCUCCUGUAGCUACUUUUCCUGGCUCUCUGUGCCCACUGUCUCUAGAGGCUCCCAAUGUGCAAGGACAAAGAUGAGAAAAAGAGUUUUACAUGAACAGUUUCAUACCUCCCCUGGAGACAAAAGUCAUGCUGCAGUGCUAUGUCUACUGUUUUACUUUUUGUUUGCUCGUUUACUUUUCUGUUGUUAAUUGUAUUAGCUUGAGCUUUGCUCAAGGUGAG